UGGUGUCUGCAUUGGCAACGAGGCUGUGU
rnacentral:piRNA from 1 species